UCCAGAAUAGAUCCCUCAAUAACCUGAGGUCAGCAUCUUAGGUUGUUUAAUCCAGAAUAGAUCCCUCAAUAACCUGAGGUCAGCAUCUUAGGUUGUUUAAUCCAGAAUAGAUCCCUCAAUAACCUGAGGUCAGCAUCUUAGGUUGUUUAAUCCAGAAUAGAUCCCUCAAUAACCUGAGGUCAACAUCUUAGGUUGUUUAAUCCAGAAUAGAUCCCUCAAUAACCUGAGGUCAGCAUCUUAGGUUGUUUAAUCCAGAAUAGAUCCCUCAAUAACCUGAGGUCAACAUCUUAGGUUGUUUAAUCCAGAAUAGAUCCCUCAAUAACCUGAGGUCAGCAUCUUAGGUUGUUUAAUCCAGAAUAGAUCCCUCAAUAACCUGAGGUCAACAUCUUAGGUUGUUUAAUCCAGAAUAGAUCCCUCAAUAACCUGAGGUCAACAUCUUAGGUUGUUUAAUCCAGAAUAGAUCCCUCAAUAACCUGAGGUCAACAUCUUAGGUUGUUUAAUCCAGAAUAGAUCCCUCAAUAACCUGAGGUCAACAUCUUAGGUUGUUUAAUCCAGAAUAGAUCCCUCAAUAACCUGAGGUCAGCAUCUUAGGUUGUUUAAUCCAGAAUAGAUCCCUCAAUAACCUGAGGUCAGCAUCUUAGGUUGUUUAAUCCAGAAUAGAUCCCUCAAUAACCUGAGGUCAGCAUCUUAGGUUGUUUAAUCCAGAAUAGAUCCCUCAAUAACCUGAGGUCAACAUCUUAGGUUGUUUAAUCCAGAAUAGAUCCCUCAAUAACCUGAGGUCAGCAUCUUAGGUUGUUUAAUCCAGAAUAGAUCCCUCAAUAACCUGAGGUCAACAUCUUAGGUUGUUUAAUCCAGAAUAGAUCCCUCAAUAACCUGAGGUCAGCAUCUUAGGUUGUUUAAUCCAGAAUAGAUCCCUCAAUAACCUGAGGUCAACAUCUUAGGUUGUUUAAUCCAGAAUAGAUCCCUCAAUAACCUGAGGUCAGCAUCUUAGGUUGUUUAAUCCAGAAUAGAUCCCUCAAUAACCUGAGGUCAACAUCUUAGGUUGUUUAAUCCAGAAUAGAUCCCUCAAUAACCUGAGGUCAGCAUCUUAGGUUGUUUAAUCCAGAAUAGAUCCCUCAAUAACCUGAGGUCAACAUCUUAGGUUGUUUAAUCCAGAAUAGAUCCCUCAAUAACCUGAGGUCAGCAUCUUAGGUUGUUUAAUCCAGAAUAGAUCCCUCAAUAACCUGAGGUCAGCAUCUUAGGUUGUUUAAUCCAGAAUAGAUCCCUCAAUAACCUGAGGUCAGCAUCUUAGGUUGUUUAAUCCAGAAUAGAUCCCUCAAUAA